rnacentral:rRNA from 1 species
UGGGGAAUCUUGCGCAAUGGGGGAAACCCUGACGCAGCGACGCCGCGUGAUUUAGAAGGCCUUCGGGUUGUAAAAAUCUUUUCUAUGGGAAGAAAAUGACAGUACCAUAGGAAUAAGGACCGGCUAAUUACGUGCCAGCAGCCGCGGUAAUACGUAAGGUCCGAGCGUUGUCCGGAAUCAUUGGGCGUAAAGGGUACGUAGGCGGGUAAGCAAGUUAGAAGUGAAAUCCUGUAGCUCAACUACAGUAAGCUUUUAAAACUGCUCAUCUUGAGAUAUGGAAGGGAAAGUGGAAUUCCUAGUGUAGCGGUGAAAUGCGCAGAUAUUAGGAGGAAUACCGGUGGCGAAGGCGACUUUCUGGCCAUAAUCUGACGCUGAGGUACGAAAGCGUGGGUAGCAAACAGG